CUUUGAUGAGGGUGCCAUGUUGGAGAGGCCCACAUGGCAAGGGACUGAGAAUGGCCUCUGGCCAACAGCCAGCAAAGAACUGGGCUUUCAAUCCCACAGCCCGUGAAGAACUGAAUCCUGAUACCAACUACCAUGAGUGAGCUUGGACGUGGACCCAUCCCUGGCUGAGCCUUCAGAUGAACACCCAGCGUCAGCUGACACCUUGAUCACAGCCUUGUGAAAGACCCUGAAGAGAAGGACUCAGCUAAGCUGUGCCUGAUUCCUGACCCACAGAAACUGGAGUUUACAGUCCAGCACGAGGAGAGAGACAGUAAACAAAUGCCAGGAAGUACUUCAGCAUCACAAAUCAUGCCAAAGUCUACAAGAGAAAAACCCUACGGAGGAUCAGAGGAGCUUCCUUGGACAUUUAAGGUGAUCCCUGAGGAGACAGAGGAAUCAACCUGUUGAAGAGAUGGGAAAAGUGGUCCAGGCAGAGGGAACCACACAGUUUCUAACAACAGUGGAGGAUAUUUAUAGAGGAGGUGAACCCCGGGCAGGAUCUGAACCCCAGGGCCUGGAGCUCUGAGAUAAUUUGCUGAGAAAGGAUUAGAACGUCAAGUGAAAUGAGUGCGCCAGCUUCUAAUCUCAUCUCAUCUUUGAACAUCUCGUCUAACAACUGGUUUCUAACUCAUUGUGCUCUUUAAAACCUGCCAAAAUGCCUGCAGGAUUUUUCUUUCCGUGGAUUCCUGAGUCUCUAACUACUAGCAUCUCAGGAGUAAGUAGCAGCUGGAGUAGAGAGUACAGGGAAGAUCAGUUUUCAGAUGCAAGGAGGAGCUGGCUGGGAUUGAGAAGCGUGUCCGCCCAGGCUGAGCAGCGCACAGGCAGGGCUGA
rnacentral:lncRNA from 1 species